rnacentral:rRNA from 1 species
GGGUCAGUAGGUUGGUCGUGCCACCGGUACGUACUGGUCUCACUGAUUCCUCCUUCCUGAAGAACCGUAAUGCCAUUAAUUUGGUGUUGCGGGGAAACAGGACUGUUACUUUGAAAAAAUUAGAGUGUUUAAAGCAAGCUAACGCUUGGAUACGUUAGCAUGGAAUAAUGAAAUAGGACGAUCGAUCCUAUUUUGUUGGUUUCUAGGAUUGACGUA